GAACAGAAACAAAAGUGAACACCUUGGUGACAAAAUCAAGUGCACAGGGGCCAUCUGACUCAGA